AUUGAACGCUGGCGGCAUGCUUUACACAUGCAAGUCGAACGGCAGCACGGACUUCGGUCUGGUGGCGAGUGGCGAACGGGUGAGUAAUACAUCGGAACGUGCCCAGUUGUGGGGGAUAACUACUCGAAAGAGUAGCUAAUACCGCAUGAGAACUGAGGUCGAAAGCAGGGGAUCGUAAGACAUUGCGCAACUGGAGCGGCAGAUGGCAGAUUAGGUAGUUGGGGGGAUAAAAGCUUACCAAGCCGACGAUCUGUAGCUGGUCUGAGAGGACGACCAGCCACACUGGGACUGAGACACGGCCCAGACUCCUACGGGAGGCAGCAGUGGGGAAUUUUGGACAAUGGGCGAAAGCCUGAUCCAGCAAUGCCGCGUGCAGGAUGAAGGCCUUCGGGUUGUAAACUGCUUUUGUACGGAACGAAAAGCUUCGGGUUAAUACCCUGGAGUCAUGACGGUACCGUAAGAAUAAGCACCGGCUAACUACGUGCCAGCCGCCGCGGUAACAC
rnacentral:rRNA from 1 species